rnacentral:rRNA from 1 species
UACGUAGGUGGCGAGCGUUGUCCGGAUUUACUGGGCGUAAAGGGAGCGUAGGCGGACUUUUAAGUGAGAUGUGAAAUACUCGGGCUCAACUUGAGUGCUGCAUUUCAAACUGGAAGUCUAGAGGGCAGGAGAGGAGAAUGGAAUUCCUAGUGUAGCGGUGAAAUGCGUAGAGAUUAGGAAGAACACCAGUGGCGAAGGCGAUUCUCUGGACUGUAACUGACGCUGAGGCUCGAAAGCGUGGGGAGCAAACAGG